rnacentral:rRNA from 1 species
ACACAUGCAGUCGAGCGGUAGCACAGAGAGCUUGCUCUCGGGUGACGAGCGGCGGACGGGUGAGUAAUGUCUGGGAAACUGCCUGAUGGAGGGGGAUAACUACUGGAAACGGUAGCUAAUACCGCAUAAUGUCGCAAGACCAAAGUGGGGGACCUUCGGGCCUCAUGCCAUCAGAUGUGCCCAGAUGGGAUUAGCUAGUAGGUGGGGUAACGGCUCACCUAGGCGACGAUCCCUAGCUGGUCUGAGAGGAUGACCAGCCACACUGGAACUGAGACACGGUCCAGACUCCUACGGGAGGCAGCAGUGGGGAAUAUUGCACAAUGGGCGCAAGCCUGAUGCAGCCAUGCCGCGUGUGUGAAGAAGGCCUUCGGGUUGUAAAGCACUUUCAGCGGGGAGGAAGGCGUUAAGGUUAAUAACCUUGGCGAUUGACGUUACCCGCAGAAGAAGCACCGGCUAACUCCGUGCCAGCAGCCGCGGUAAUACGGAGGGUGCAAGCGUUAAUCGGAAUUACUGGGCGUAAAGCGCACGCAGGCGGUCUGUCAAGUCGGAUGUGAAAUCCCCGGGCUCAACCUGGGAACUGCAUUCGAAACUGGCAGGCUAGAGUCUUGUAGAGGGGGGUAGAAUUCCAGGUGUAGCGGUGAAAUGCGUAGAGAUCUGGAGGAAUACCGGUGGCGAAGGCGGCCCCCUGGACAAAGACUGACGCUCAGGUGCGAAAGCGUGGGGAGCAAACAGGAUUAGAUACCCUGGUAGUCCACGCCGUAAACGAUGUCGAUUUGGAGGUUGUGCCCUUGAGGCGUGGCUUCCGGAGCUAACGCGUUAAAUCGACCGCCUGGGGAGUACGGCCGCAAGGUUAAAACUCAAAUGAAUUGACGGGGGCCCGCACAAGCGGUGGAGCAUGUGGUUUAAUUCGAUGCAACGCGAAGAACCUUACCUGGUCUUGACAUCCACAGAACUUUCCAGAGAUGGAUUGGUGCCUUCGGGAACUGUGAGACAGGUGCUGCAUGGCUGUCGUCAGCUCGUGUUGUGAAAUGUUGGGUUAAGUCCCGCAACGAGCGCAACCCUUAUCCUUUGUUGCCAGCGGUUCGGCCGGGAACUCAAAGGAGACUGCCAGUGAUAAACUGGAGGAAGGUGGGGAUGACGUCAAGUCAUCAUGGCCCUUACGACCAGGGCUACACACGUGCUACAAUGGCAUAUACAAAGAGAAGCGACCUCGCGAGAGCAAGCGGACCUCAUAAAGUAUGUCGUAGUCCGGAUUGGAGUCUGCAACUCGACUCCAUGAAGUCGGAAUCGCUAGUAAUCGUAGAUCAGAAUGCUACGGUGAAUACGUUCCCGGGCCUUGUACACACCGCCCGUCACACCAUGGGAGUGGGUUGCAAAAGAAGUAGGUAGCUUAACCUUCGGGAGGG